rnacentral:rRNA from 1 species
UACGGAGGGGGCUAGCGUUGUUCGGAAUUACUGGGCGUAAAGCGCGUGUAGGCGGCUAAGUAAGUCGGGCGUGAAAUCCCACGGCUCAACCGUGGAAGUGCACUCGAAACUGCGUAGCUAGAGUCCUGGAGAGGAAGGUGGAAUGCUUGGUGUAGAGGUGAAAUUCGUAGAUAUCGGGAGGAACACCUGUGGCGAAAGCGGCUCACUGGACCAUAACUGACGCUGAUGCACGAAAGCUGGGGGAGCAAACAGG